AUGAAACCUCAGUAAAGGUUCUGGACACCAAAGCGCAAGUGAACUUCUUUGGUUGACAGUACUCUGCAUAUUGUGGCACAUCAACAUGUCAGGAGGGUAAAGAGUCCUGAGGACAAGGAUGCUUCAUGUUUGGGACCCUCCCAGACCUUGACCUUUCACUGAACAUGAAAAAUUCUGAGUUCAAAAUUAUGUUCAAUGGGAACUGAAAGUAGACUACAAAGAGGAUGCCUCCAGUCUCCUUUUAUACCUUCCCAAAAGAUGAUGUAAUACUUUGAACAGCCAAGAAGAGAACUGAAGGGUGGUACACUAAUCUGGCUAUAAACCCAUCGUGUAAUUGUCCACACUCUCUCUUCCUCUCUGUGUCUACUUUGGAGGCCAUGCAUUUAAUAUAUCAGCAUCAAGAUGGAAGAAGCCUGGAUCCCUGAGCCAAUACUAGAAAGGAAGUCACUAAGGAGAGCUCCAGAUUCACCCUGGGCUCUAUGAGCAAGAAGACGUGUCCUUGAAUUAUUUAUAACAGAGGAGCCACCUGCUUGGAACAAUUUUCCACUUUGCCUUGUGCUCAACCGGCCUUGUCAACUGAUAUUGCAGUUGCUGAUGACCCCAUGUGAGCAAACGCAAGCUCAUCUGCUGAAUGCUGAGGGCCAUUUGACUCACUUGCCCCCGUUACCGUGGCCAACCGCUAGAUGUGUGGAUGAGACCAAGCUAGACCCAAUGGUGGACCACGUGCAGGAGGAAGCCCAGCCGGGAGCAGGCACACCAGCUCAGACUGAAAGAACUGCUCACUCGACCCACGGGACCGUUACACAAAGGAACUGCUGCGGUUUUAAGUGACCAUGUUUCAGGAUAGUUUAUUAGGUGACAAAAGCUGACUGAUUCAUCAGUGAAGCAAAUGGUGACUGUGCUGCCGUCCUAAGAAUGGUGGAGGGUAAUCUUAGUUUUGUUGGCAUUUUCUGGAUGCUCAAAAGUUGCCUCAUUUCUUCUCUUCCCCUUAUUUAGGCAGGGCAGGGUAGGGAUCCAAUCCAUGGGCUCAUUCUCUUCUUGCUGUCUUGCCACUGCCUCCCAUUGGUCACACACAGCAGGAAGGCAGAAGACAAAGGAACCUUGGUGAUGUGCUCUGGAGAGCUCAGCUUCCUGGUCCAGGGCAGAACAGGGAAGCAUGAGAAAAGAUUCUGGGGGGUAGGAGAGGGAGGUGGAGGCACAGAGCAUGGAUAAGAUACUUAAUAGAUGAGGACUUUACUCUCUGGUCCUAAACAUCUUUCCAGAUGCUGUUCCUUCUUUAUUUUUAUGAAGAACCUUCAGUUUUCCUUCCUACCCAUCUAUGUCCAUGUUGUUCUCAGUGCCUAAUAGGCCCUUUUCUUCUAAUCCUCCUGGUAAACUUUUAUUUAUCUGUCAAGGCCUAGUUGCUGUGAAUUCUUCCUCAUUGCUCUUAGCAAAAUAAACCACCUAACCUCUCUUUUUCUAUGACACUGAUAUUUCCAUUUCACAUAGUAGCUUCUUAUAAUAAUAGUUUUCUUCCCUCUCCACACAAAGUAGGAAACAUGCUCUGUUUCCCAAUGUGCACUUUUUGUUUAGCAACUACUAAGUGCUCAAUAAAUAUUUAAUAAAGGAUUAUGAUAUAGCCUGAGGGUAUAGUGGCAAUAAUGCCAUGUUGCUUCUGUUUGUGGAUAAGGACUAAUUAGAAGAGAAAAUUAAAAUAACACACACAAACACACAUAUAUAUAUAUAUAUGAGAGAGAGAGAGGUUGGCAUAAGGAAUACUCUUUUUCUUUUAUGAGGCUACAGUAGAUUUUAUUUUCAAUGGUUCUCAUCCUGAUCUAAUAGGAGGAUAUUAUGCUCUGCUUGUUGCCAUGUGACUUAUAGAGCCUUUCAGUGGGUGGGGUAUAUUUCCCCACCUCACUGAGCCCCAAGUGACUGUCUCUGGCCAGUGAAAUCUGAGCAGAAGUUGCUGUUGGCCAGUGGAGAGCAGAAGCUUUAGGGGCUCAAGGGUUUCUGCCAGAUCUCUUGCUCUUUUCCCUUUGCUGUGAGAAUAGUACUACCAGGUAGAGGCUGAUCUUUCAGCUUGGAUCCCAGAAUGAAGAAAUCGCACCCUGAAGAGACACAGCUGGUCCCAUGAGGAACAUAUAAUGAGAGUGAGGAACAAGCCUUUGUUGUCAUAAGUCAUCAAGAUUUGGGGGUUAUUUGUUACCACAGUCUUCCCCAGUAAAAUCUGACUAAUACAUAGACAUGAUUUUUUUAAUUGAAUGAUGAUUAUGAAGACAAAUAUUUAAUGAGUGUACAACAAAGUUUGAGGCACAUUGUAGGGUCCCUCCUUUCUGAGCCAGCUGCUGCCCCCUUCUUACACUGCAUCCUAUGGUGGACAGUUAACAAAAGACCACAGAUCUGCAGACUGUCUUCUGACGGCCAAACAACUAGGUGUGUGUGGUGGCGCGGGGGUGGGGUGCUCCUAAAAAUUCCUAGGACUAUGAAGAAGUAUUUACAGCCUCCUGUCAACACCAAGAAGCCACUAAAGCGCUUCUAAAUUCUCAUUUUGGGCAGCAUUUCAAAAAUGUUGCCAUUUCACAAGAAGGUGAAAAUUUCAGGUUUCCCUGAAAGUAGGAAGCAUUUUCACUCGACAAAGUUUUUAAUUUUAAAGACAAUUAAAUAUAAGCUAAGUCAGGAUAAGAGAAAAUCAUUAAAAGGCUGUGCAGAGAGCAGCCACAGAGCAUUACAGGAGAGCGGAGGGCUCCAACCUGCUCUGAGUGCCCUAUUCUGACUUACCUUCGAUCCACAAAAAGUCUGAACUUCAAACACAGAAGUGAAAAUGGAACUGGGGUGGCCUAAAUUUUCCCCUAUUUGAGUAUUUCCGUGUUUAUGUAUUAUGUAUCUAGUCAGCAUUAACCUAUCACUUCCCAAAAGAAUGGAAGGACUUUCUUUGAAUGGGAAGGAGGCUGGGAGGGGAGGAUUAACAUGAGAACCAUACUGUGGUCUCUAUCUAUUUCUUCAAUAUGCCUGACAUACGCAAAGAAAUGGGAAAGCUUUUCCAUUGUUAAAAAGAGAAACCUGACAACAUGCCUGCAUGUCUCUGAAACUUGUCAAAAAAAUAAGAUCAUGGGACACCGGGUGCAUCCAAUCUGUCACAUUAAUGAAAAUUCCCCAAAGCCUCCACAUGUACUUUUUCCUUGUGCUUCCAAUAAAAAACUCCUUUGAAAGAGAAGGAGUGGGGACACAUGCGCUUUCAAACCAUCUCCCUAGAAGUGUUCGUGCUAAUUUUCCCCGUAAAGGAAGAAAGCUGUUGUUUUCUAUCAGAUCUCUCAAGCCU
ensembl:lncRNA